rnacentral:rRNA from 1 species
CCUACGGGAGGCAGCAGUAGGGAAUCUUGGACAAUGGGGGAAACCCUGAUCGAGCAACGCCGCGUGAGUGAAGAAGUUUUUCGGUAUGUAAAACUCUGUCGGCAGAGAAGAAAAUGCCGGUACCUGACUGCGUAGCCCCGGGUAACUACGUGCCAGCAGCCGCGGUCCUACGUAGGGGGCGAGCGUUAUCCGGAUUUACUGGGGGUAAAGGGAGCGUAGGCGGUGCAGCAAGUCUGAUGUGAAAGGGCGCGGCUCAACCCAGGGACUGCAUUGGAAACUGUGGAACUGGAUUGCAGGAGAGGUAAGUGGAAUUCCUAGUGUAGCGGUGAAAUGCGUAGAUAUUAGGAGGAACACCAGUGGCGAAGGCGGCUUAUUGGACUGUAAAUGACGCUGAGGCUCGAAAGCGUGGGGAGCAAACAGGAUUAGAUACCCUAGUAGUC